UGCAGUCGAGCGGCAGCGGGUCCUUCGGGAUGCCGGCGAGCGGCGGACGGGUGAGGAAUGCAUCGGAAUCUGCCUUUUUGUGGGGGAUAACGUAGGGAAACUUACGCUAAUACCGCAUACGUCCUACGGGAGAAAGUGGGGGACCGCAAGGCCUCACGCAGAAAGAUGAGCCGACGCCGGAUUAGCUAGUUGGCGGGGUAAAGGCCCACCAAGGCGGCGAUCCGUAGCUGGUCUGAGAGGAUGAUCAGCCACACUGGAACUGAGACACGGUCCAGACUCCUACGGGAGGCAGCAGUGGGGAAUAUUGGACAAUGGGCGCAAGCCUGAUCCAGCCAUGCCGCGUGAGUGAAGAAGGCCUUCGGGUUGUAAAGCUCUUUUGUUGGGGAAGAAAAGCAUUCGAUUAAUACUCGGGUGUUCUGACGGUACCCAAAGAAUAAGCACCGGCUAACUUCGUGCCAG
rnacentral:rRNA from 1 species